rnacentral:rRNA from 1 species
UACGUAGGGUGCGAGCGUUAAUCGGAAUUACUGGGCGUAAAGCGUGCGCAGGCGGCGGCUCAAGUCAGGUGUGAAAUCCCCGGGCUUAACCUGGGAAUUGCGCUUGAAACUAGCGGGCUUGAGUGUGGCAGAGGGGGGUGGAAUUCCACGUGUAGCAGUGAAAUGCGUAGAGAUGUGGAGGAACACCGAUGGCGAAGGCAGCCCCCUGGGUCAACACUGACGCUCAUGCACGAAAGCGUGGGAGCGAAACAGG